rnacentral:lncRNA from 1 species
UCAUAUUUUCAAAAUGUUCAAGAACAGAGGCCUGAACAUUGGGUUCAACAUUUGCUUCAUCUUUCAACACAGCCUACAUAUUCCAAACUUUGAGAAACUGAGAAGCACUUACUUAAAUAUGCAUUAAGUAAAGGAGUGGCAUAUCUCGUCAUACAUCAAAUGUAUUUUGUUUGUCCUAUACUGGUUUCCCUGUUUAAGGAAUAUAUACAAGAAAUGACAAAACUGUAAAGACCACAUUGAUGUAAUGUUUGAUAUGAUUUGGUCUCGCUUCAAGGAGGUUGCAUGCUUUGGUUUCUGAACUCCAAAAUUAAAUUUGUUCUCUAACAGAACAACAUGCUUUGGUUUUGCUUCGGUGAGGUUGCAACUGAUGUGAAAACCCAUUCCAGGGACCUCCUACAAGCAAUUCAUUAGAAGGCCAGCACACAUUAAGUUUUUUCCUUUAAAAACAUGAAUUUCAGAAGGAAAACACAUAUUACCUGGGUGUCAAUGAGGCAUUCAUAAAACGAACAACUAGUAAUUGUUUCCUAUGGUUUAGUUGGACAUUAAAUAAAGACACUUUCUAUCGAAGAUGAGCAGAAUGAAUCACAAGAGAUGUGUACCAAAUAAUGUGCUGUCAAUCUGAACCACAACUUCCUGGUACUGAUUUCUACAUAUACAAUUACUAACAACCACGUGGAAACGUUUUUCUUUAGUUGGCAUAACUACAUGCAAAUACCAAAUAAGAAGGAUCAGUAAAGAGAGCACCUCAUUUAUCUAUUUUCCAAUCUUGCUGCUGCAACCUUAUAAUUAUAGAUCAUACAUCGAUUUGGAGCACAUAUUAGUACAUAGUAAUUCCUCGGCAAUGAUGAUCAGUCAUUUUAGAACAAUCAUCAGUCAGUCGGGCAAGACAAGAAACAAAUUGGCAGCUACUAUCUAUGUGUUUUUCGAACCAAUUAUAGGAACCUCCAAUAUAUGAGGCUUUGCAAAUAGAAUAUAAGGAACACCGACAUUCUGCAAGCCAUGGUUACUAACCUGCAUGAAAAUAGGGAGUAAAUACCUUGUAAUUGAUAUGAAGAUUGUACAAAUAUACUUGCAGCUCGUAUGUAAAUUUGGUGCUCACAAGACACUAUUCCAAUUCUGAAUCAACAAAAGCAUGCCUUUUAAGUCAACUAGAACAAAUUGUUCAUGCUCAUCUCCCGGCCACUGGUUUAAACAGAUUGGGGGAAAGGUGUGGACGAAAUUGUAAGAACAAAAAUGACCUUAACACAUGGAUACAGGACGAAGCAAACAUAUCAAGAUCCUUGAGUUGAUGCAGACGACAGCGGCAGUAGAUUGAGUCACCAAUGCACACUCACAAUGAGCCACCA